rnacentral:rRNA from 1 species
GACGAACGCUGGCGGCGUGCCUAAUACAUGCAAGUCGAACGCAGUGGGGACGGGUGCGUAACACGUGGGUAACCUCCCAUCAGAGGGGAUAACACUUGGAAACAGGUGCUAAACCGAUACUGAUGGAUGGACCCGCGGUGCAUUAGCUAGUUGGUGAGGGAACGGCUCACCAAGGCCACGAUGCAUAGCCGGCCGGAGAGGGGGAGCGGCCACACUGGGACGGAGACACGGCCCAGACUCCUACGGGAGGCAGCAGGAGGGAAUCUUCGGCAAUGGACGAAAGUCUGACCGAGAAACGCCGCGUGAGUGAAGAAGGUGUGCGGAUCGUAAAACUCUGUUGUUAGAGAAGCGGUAGCUAACCAGAAAGCCACGGCUAACUACGUGCCAGCAGCCGCGGUAAUAC